rnacentral:rRNA from 1 species
UGGGGAAUAUUGCACAAUGGGCGCAAGCCUGAUGCAGCCAUGCCGCGUGUAUGAAGAAGGCCUUCGGGUUGUAAAGUACUUUCAGCGGGGAGGAAGGGAGUAAAGUUAAUACCUUUGCUCAUUGACGUUACCCGCAGAAGAAGCACCGGCUAACUCCGUGCCAGCAGCCGCGGUAAUACGGAGGGUGCAAGCGUUAAUCGGAAUUACUGGGCGUAAAGCGCACGCAGGCGGUUUGUUAAGUCAGAUGUGAAAUCCCCGGGCUCAACCUGGGAACUGCAUCUGAGACUGGCAAGCUUGAGUCUCGUAGAGGGGGGUAGAAUUCCAGGUGUAGCGGUGAAAUGCGUAGAGAUCUGGAGGAAUACCGGUGGCAAAGGCGGCCCCCUGGACAAAGACUGACGCUCAGGUGCGAAAGCGUGGGGAGCAAACAGG